UUAAGUUCAGCGGGUAUCCCUACCUGAUCCGAGGUCAACCUUAAAAAAUGGGGGAUUUUGGCAAGCAACCACCGGAACCCUAUAGCGAGAAAAAUUACUACGCUUAGAGCCAGAUGGCACCGCCACUGAUUUUAGGGGCCGAGAAACCUCGAACCCCAAUACCAAGCCAAAGCUUGAGUGGUUAUAAUGACGCUCGAACA
rnacentral:misc_RNA from 1 species